rnacentral:tRNA from 1 species
UUGCCCGUAGCUCAGCCCGGAAGAGCACCUGGCUCUUAACCAGGGUGUCGCGGGUUCGAAUCCCGUCGGGCCCA